rnacentral:rRNA from 1 species
UGGGGAGUAUUGGACAAUGGGGGCAACCCUGAUCCAGCAAUGCCGCGUGAGUGAUGAAGGCCUUAGGGUUGUAAAGCUCUUUCGACGGGGAAGAUGAUGACGGUACCCGUAGAAGAAGCCCCGGCUAACUUCGUGCCAGCAGCCGCGGUAAUACGAAGGGGGCUAGCGUUGUUCGGAUUUACUGGGCGUAAAGGGCGCGUAGGCGGUGCAAUAAGUCAGGCGUGAAAGCCCCGGGCUCAACCCGGGAAUUGCGCUUGAUACUGUUGCGCUUGAAUCCAGGAGAGGAUGGCGGAAUUCCCAGUGUAGAGGUGAAAUUCGUAGAUAUUGGGAAGAACACCAGUGGCGAAGGCGGCCAUCUGGCCUGGAAUUGACGCUGAGGCGCGAAAGCGUGGGGAGCAAACAGGAUUAGAUACCCCCGUAGUCC